rnacentral:pre_miRNA from 1 species
CAUGAUCAACGAGAGUUUCAACCUGCCGCGAAGGUCUAUGAGUGGUCUGCUGCUCCUCUUCGUGGGGC